rnacentral:sRNA from 1 species
CGUACAGGGGGGAAUGGAGGUGCGGCACGGGCAGGAGAGGAAGAAUUCAUCGUAAUCAAUUUAUCCUUGAGCGGAUUUCCUGUGGACUGCGUAGCGCCUUGUUCCCUGCCUUGUGCCCUUGCCGCUGACUGUGGUGCGUUUCAGCACCCUCCAUUUUUAUCUUUCGGCAAAUCCCCCUCUCUCCGUCCGGCUUUGUUGCUUUCUUGUGAAUUUUCAUCUUUGCUGUUCAGUUUUUGCGCGCGGUUCAGGCUUCGCCUUCGGGGGUUUUUGUUUAACUUCCUUCGAUGAUACAUUACAGGGCCUUAACCGAGAUUUGAGUCCCUGACCUACAUCUCUGUUGUACUGUGCAACUCCGAACCAUAUAGUUUGCUUCUGUCCUUGCGCUUUUCUUCCUUGGCUGUGGAUUGUUACUUAGUUCUGUGAUUCUACUGGCUCCCGUGCCAUAUUGCCGAGGAGGACUAGAACCAUAAUUAUGGACUGUUUCGGGGGUUUAGUACCAUGGAUCAAAUCCAUCCAUCGACGACGGCGAAAGAACUCAAAGCGAUUGGUGAUUGGCCACCCAACGGAUUUCCGACGCGUAGAAUUCACGAUGCCUCAGUAUGAUAAGGAAGAUGCAUUGUCGGACAACACCCCCAGUGACUCCAGCGCGCUUUAUCACGUGUCGAAGCGAGAAAAGCUUUACCAUGAAGCCAAGCUGUUAAAGGAAAAGCUGACCGAAAAUACGGACGUCGUCCGUUUAAGACUCCUGCGGCAGCGCACAUAAACAAUAUUCCAAUCGACGAGAGACUAUGAAAAUGUUAGAUUUUAAGACGCAUGACGAUUUGGGUUCGCAAUUGGGAGGAAAGGCCUAUGAUGUUGCCGUUUAUCAUGGCUUAUUGAAGAUGAAAAUGGAAAGAGUUACGAAUGGUUUUGGAAUACGACGCUUAACGAAUUUUGAGAGGAGGAAUGAAUUUUUUUGCUUUCGUGCGCAUCUCACAAUAUGAAUGUUGGGACUUCAUUGAGGCGGGAUUUUUUGGAUUUUGCAUCUUUUCCAUGGCGUUUAUUGGAUGAGGUUUCUGAUGGCGAUCGUUUGCGAUGUUGGUAUUUGUUAUUGCUGAUUUCAUAUUCCUUUAUUUCUGUUGAUUGUUCAUCAUCUGGAUCAUCGAGUAAUCUCAUUAUUCUACUUGUGUGUUUUGGAGGAGCAGAGGUGCUAUGUCGGCGGCUUUUUGAGUGGCCAGACUCAUACGAUGCUUUUAUCUUUUCUUGUGGAUCACAUCGUGAUGCCGGCUGUGCGUUCGUAUUCACAGACAAUGAAUCUGCCGUAUAGGCAUUGCUCCUAAUUGACGCAGGCCUUUGU